CGACCGAACCUCCCUCCCCCCAUUAGUGCUUACGUAAUAUAUGUGUACGUUAAUUACCUGUUAAUUGUUUUUCAAAAAUAAUUAGGAAUUUUGAAGUGUUCGGCUAGAUUUUAGUGUAAACAGUUGUGAAAGUUUUGAAAUCCUGGUUUUCAUCAAGGGUUUUCAAAAGUGUUUUGAUAAUAUAUAUAAUAUAUACCAACGAUUGUUAGAUUAAUAUUUGUCAUUCAUCAAGGACAUAAAACUCCUCCAACACUCGAGAAAUUUAUAGUUCUGGUUGUUCAAUAAAUUCCACAUUAUCUGGAGGCCUGAAGCACUAAAUUGGACAUAUAGUGAUACGUUGCGUGAUAAGUACGUUUCUAAAUCGAUCGGCACUAAUUUCAUCUCUACCGCGGAACGCAGGCGGAAGUUAAAAUAAAAAUGUG